AGCAGCCGCGGUAAUUCCAGCUCCAAUAGCGUAUAUUAAAGUUGUUGCAGUUAAAAAGCUCGUAGUUGAAUUUCGGGAUCAAUUUGCUGGUCGUGCCUCUGGUACGUACUGGUAUUAUUGGUUUCUCCCUUCUGACGAACCAUGAUGUCAUUAAUUUGAUGUCGUGGAGAAUCAGGACUGUUACUUUGAAAAAAUUAGAGUGUUUAAAGCAGGCAUUAGCUUGAAUACAUUAGCAUGGAAUAAUGAAAUAGGACGUUUGAUCCUAUUUUGUUGGUUUCUAGGAUUGACGUAAUGAUUAAUAGGGAUAGUUGGGGGCAUUAGUAUUCAAUUGUCAGAGGUGAAAUUCUUGGAUUUAUUGAAGACUAACUACUGCGAAAGCAUUUGCCAAGGAUGUUUUCAUUAAUCAAGAACGAAAGUUAGGGGAUCGAAGACGAUCAGAUACCGUCGUAGUCUUAACCAUAAACUAUGCCGACGUAGGGAUCGGAUGAUGUUAAUUCUUUUUAAUGACUCU
rnacentral:rRNA from 1 species